CUCUUCAGCAAAGGAGUCGGGGCAGAUGUUGUGGCAUUCCGAUUCCCUCAUCACUACGGCUUCCAUGGCUUCGACGACUUCAACGGUUACAACGGCUAUUUCGGCUACGGCAAUGAUAGGAACCAUAACAACGGUGGCUUCGGUAACAACGGCGGCUUCGGUAACAACGGCGGCUUCGAUAACAACGGCGGCUUCGGUAACAACGGCGGCUUCGGUAACAACGGCGGCUUCGGUAACAACGGCGGCUUCGAUAACAACGGCGGCUUCGAUAACAACGGCGGCUUCGAUAACAACGGCGGCUUCGGUAACAACGGCGGCUUCGGUAACAACGGCGGCUUCGGUAACAACGGCGGCUUCGGUAACAACGGUGGCUUCGGUAACAACGGUGGCUUCGGUAACAACGACGGCUUCGGUAACAACCACGGCUUCGGUAACAACGACGGCUUCGGUAACAACCACGGCUUCGGUAACAACGGCGGCCACCGAGACUUCCGCAACUCCGGCUGUCAGUUUGCAUGUCAAUGGCUGUGAUUGCUACAUCGGCUACGGUAGCUACGAUAACAACGACGUCCACGUGACAUUGGUGGCUUCGGUAACUUCGAUCGGCUGUCGGUGGAGACGUUGCUGGCUCAGGUCAAGAUCUAAAGGAAGAGAUUAUUUAGAUCUUGGCUCAGGCCAGUCCGUCCAUGGCAACAAAUGAUAUGGCUUAAUUUUAUGUUUGUUUUUUGUGUUUCUUUGUAUGUCUUGUAAUACGUUAAUGUUUUUCAAUGCAAUAAAGAACGUACACCUACU